AGAGCGAACGCUGGCGGCAGGCCUAAUACAUGCAAGUCGAACGCACCUUCGGGUGAGUGGCGGACGGGUGAGUAACACGUGGGAACGUGCCUUUUGGUUCGGAAUAAUCCGGGGAAACCUGGCCUAAUACCGGAUGUGCCCUUCGGGGGAAAGAUUUAUCGCCAUUAGAGCGGCCCGCGUCUGAUUAGCUUGUGGUGAGGUAAAGGCCUACCAAGGCUCCGAUCGGUAGCUGGUCUGAGAGGAUGAUCAGCCACACUGGGACUGAGACACGGCCCAGACUCCUACGGGAGGCAGCAGUGGGGAAUAUUGGACAAUGGGCGAAAGCCUGAUCCAGCAAUGCCGCGUGGGUGAAGAAGGUCUUCGGAUUGUAAAGCCCUUUCGACGGGGACGAUGAUGACGGUACCGUAGAAGAAGCCCCGGCUAACUCGUGCCAGCAGCCGC
rnacentral:rRNA from 1 species